rnacentral:rRNA from 1 species
GAGUUUGAUCAUGGCUCAGAUUGAACGCUGGCGGUAGGCUUAACACAUGCAAGUCGUGCGAGAAAGUAUCUUCGGAUAUGAGUAGAGCGGCGGACGGGUGAGUAACGCGUAGGAAUCUACCUAGUAGAAGGGGAUAGCCCGGGGAAACUCGGAUUAAUACCGUAUACCUCCUUCGGGAGAAAGAAGGCCUCUCUUUGAAGCUUUCGCUACUAGAUGAGCCUGCGUAAGAUUAGCUUGUUGGUGAGGUAAAGGCUCACCAAGGCGACGAUCUUUAGCGGGUCUGAGAGGACGAUCCGCCACAUUGGGACUGAGACACGGCCCAGACUCCUACGGGAGGCAGCAGUGGGGAAUAUUGGACAAUGGGCGCAAGCCUGAUCCAGCCAUACCGCGUGUGUGAAGAAGGCCCUAGGGUUGUAAAGCACUUUAAGUUGGGAAGAAAAGUUAUUGGUUAAUACCCAAUAGCCGUGACAUUACCAUCAGAAUAAGGACCGGCUAAUUCCGUGCCAGCAGCCGCGGUAAUACGGAAGGUCCAAGCGUUAAUCGGAAUUACUGGGCGUAAAGCGCGCGUAGGUGGUUUAUUAAGUUGGAUGUGAAAUCCCCGGGCUCAACCUGGGAACUGCAUCCAAAACUGAUUCACUAGAGUACGAUAGAGGGAGGUAGAAUUCACAGUGUAGCGGUGGAAUGCGUAGAUAUUGUGAAGAAUACCAAUGGCGAAGGCAGCCUCCUGGAUCUGUACUGACACUGAGGUGCGAAAGCGUGGGUAGCGAACAGGAUUAGAUACCCUGGUAGUCCACGCCGUAAACGAUGUCAACUAGCUGUUGGGGAACUAUGUUCUUCAGUGGCGCAGCUAACGUAGUAAGUUGACCGCCUGGGGAGUACGGCCGCAAGGCUAAAACUCAAAUGAAUUGACNGGGACCCGCACAGCGGUGGAGCAUGUGGUUUAAUUCGAUGCAACGCGAAAACCUUACCUAAUACUUGACA